rnacentral:lncRNA from 1 species
GUGUAGGCAUGGAUAUUCCGGAAUGUUCCUCCCAUGUGAAUUCUCUUGCCCAUAGUUUAAGGGAUAAUUGAACACCAUGCACUCUCUCCCUCAAUUUUCCUCAUUUUCUCCAAAUCUCACCCUAUUCUGAGAACUUGACAGGUUGGAUGACUGCAAAGUGGUGGAUCUGUAACAAGUUCAGUGUACGGAGUAACAGAAUAAUGCUCAAUGGAAGGAGGUCUCCAGGGAAUUGCCACAAAGCUUCCCAUACAGUCUAUAGUCUUGGAAGAAAAUGGUCUGCUUGUUUCACUCAUUCAAGAUAGAAAGCUCUCAUGGAUAAUAAAUGUGUGGGUCGGAUUCAAAACCAAAUAAAAAUCUCGGCAGUCUGAAAUAUUGGUCUAAUCCCCCAACAAUGAAACUUAAUCAGUUUCAUAUCAAGUCCUGCAUUUGAAUUCUGCACCAGAAUAGCACUAUUGAACAGCAGUUUAUAAUUAAGGAAUUUUAGGAUUUAGAAACUCUAAAAUUCCAAAAGAAUCUUCAGUGUAAUUCACUGACCAAAAACCCAAGUAUGUGUGUUUUGGCUACAGAAAAAGAGUUUCAAGAAGAAAGGGAGGUGUUACUCCUGCCGUAGCUGUUCUGUCCAGCACUGCGGUAGGAUGGGCAGGCACACUUUUAGAGGGACAUCAGCAAACAUCUAAGUUCAGGUGUGGGCAACCCAAAUCCUGCGCUAAAGGUGUGACAUGGCAAAAUCAUUGUUUAUUGGGAAAGGCUAGAGUAACUGGUGAUGUUAAC